UGGGGAAUAUUGGGGCAAAUGGGGGAAACCCUGACCCAGCAACGCCGCGUGAGGGAAGAAGGCUUUCGAGUUGUAAACCUCUGUCCUAUGGGAAGAAGAAAGUGACUGUACCAUAGGAGGAAGCUCCGGCUAACUACGUGCCAGCAGCCGCGGUAAUACGUAGGGAGCAAGCGUUGUCCGGAAUUACUGGGCGUAAAGGGUGCGUAGGCGGCGCAGUUAGUCAGAAGUGAAAUAUCGGGGCUUAACUCCGGGACUGCUUCUGAUACUGCUGUGCUCGAGUGCAGGAGAGGUAAGUGGAAUUCCUAGUGUAGCGGUGAAAUGCGUAGAUAUUAGGAGGAACACCAGUGGCGAAGGCGACUUACUGGACUGUAACUGACGCUGAGGCACGAAAGCGUGGGUAGCAAACAGGAUUAGAUACC
rnacentral:rRNA from 1 species